rnacentral:rRNA from 1 species
CUCUCCCCGUCGCCCCGGCCCCCGGCUCACCCGCAGGUGCGUCUCCCAUCGCCCUACGGCCAGAUCCCCUCCGGCGCCGCGGCCCACCACGCGCGCUCGCUCUCGCAGCCCCUCUUCUUCUCUCUCGACUCGCUCCCACCGCCGCCGUACGCCGAUCUGGCCGGCCCGCCCGCCAUCCCGCCCUCCCCGCCGUCUUCAAGCUCCGACCCGCCGUCCUUCGGCCUGCCGCCGCGGAGGGCUGGCCACCGCCGCUCUCAGAGCGACAUCCCCUUCGGGUUCUCGCAGCUCAGCCCGCCCCUGCCGCCCCCGGCGCCGGUGAAGCGCGAGGCGGCCACGGGGCAGGAUGGCGGCAGAUUGGAGGGCGACGACGCUGCGUUGUACGACCUUGUCAACGCCUACAUGGACCUGGACGGGAUGGACGCGCUCAACUCCUCCGAGGACCGCCACGACGACCGUGACAUUCACAGCCGUGCCAGCGGCACCCGCGCUGCCAGCGCGGCCGAGAGCAGCGAGAACGAAGCCGAGAGCCAGUCCACCUCAGCGGAGAGGAAGGACGGAGCCAAGUCUCGGCAUUGUCGCAGCUUGUCCAUGGACAGCUUCAUGGGGAAGCUCAACUAUGCCACAGGUGACGAGUCGCCAAAGCUACCACCGCCGUCCCCCAGCGGUGGCCUUUCCAGGAGCGGGAGUGGGUCCUUGGACGGUGGUGGUGCUGCGUCACUGUUUGGUACCGAGUUCACCAACGGGGAGUUCACUGAGGCUGAGAAGAAGAAGAUCAUGGCAAAUGAACGCCUCGCAGAGAUAGCUUUGACAGACCCUAAGAGGGUCAAGAGGAUUUUGGCAAAUCGCCAGUCUGCGGCAAGGUCAAAGGAGCGCAAGAUGAGGUACAUUCAAGAACUCGAGCAUAAGGUACAGGUCUUGCAGACAGAGGCGACUACGCUUUCAGCACAAUUGACAAUGCUGCAGAGGGACUCUGGAGGACUUGCAACUCAGAACAAUGAGUUGAAAAUAAGGCUGCAAGCAAUGGAGCAACAGGCGCAGCUGAGAGAUGCUCUGAAUGAAGCACUAACGGGUGAGGUCCAGCGGCUGAAACUUGCAACCGGUGAGAUUACGGAUGCUCGUAUGUCGAAGGCGGGCCUACAGCAGCAGAUGAACUCCCAGCUGAUUCAAAUGCAGCAGCUGCAAAUACAGCAGCAGCAACAGCAGCAGUCAUCACAGACGCAGCAGGCUCAGCAACAACACCAGCAGCAGCAGCAGUCGCAGCAAUCAGCAUAG